rnacentral:rRNA from 1 species
GAGUUUGAUCCUGGCUCAGAUUGAACGCUGGCGGCAUGCCUUACACAUGCAAGUCGAACGGCAGCACGGGAGCUUGCUCCUGGUGGCGAGUGGCGAACGGGUGAGUAAUGCAUCGGAACGUAUCCUGGAGUGGGGGAUAACGUAGCGAAAGUUACGCUAAUACCGCAUAUUCUGUGAGCAGGAAAGCGGGGGACCUUCGGGCCUCGCGCUCUUGGAGCGGCCGAUGUCGGAUUAGCUAGUUGGUGAGGUAAAGGCUCACCAAGGCGACGAUCCGUAGCAGGUCUGAGAGGAUGAUCUGCCCCACUGGAACUGAGACACGGUCCAGACUCCUACGGGAGGCAGCAGUGGGGAAUUUUGGACAAUGGGGGCAACCCUGAUCCAGCCAUGCCGCGUGAGUGAAGAAGGCCUCGG